rnacentral:rRNA from 1 species
GACGGAGGGUGCAAGCGUUGCUCGGACUCACUGGGCGUAAAGAGCACGUAGGCGGCUUGGUAAGUCUGAUGUGAAAUCCCACGACUCAAUCGUGGAAGUGCAUUGGAUACUGCUUAGCUAGAGUGCAGGAGGGGUAAGCGGAAUUCCAGGUGUAGAGGUGAAAUUCGUAGAUAUCUGGAGGAACAACGGUGGCGAAGGCGGCUUACUGGACUGUGACUGACGCUGAGGUGCGACAGUGUGGGGAGCGAACAGG